rnacentral:misc_RNA from 1 species
AACAAUUAUUUGUUCUCUUGAAAGAGUCUCUGAAGAGGGCAGAAAGUUUAAAGUUGAAGCGAUUAGUUGCUUCUAAUCAUCUUGCGAUGGCUAAAUUUGACUUGAUGCAUGUGCAAAGACCUCUGUUAUCAUUUGGUCCCAAAGCUUCCAUGAGGCUUAAAACAUGUCCCGUCAAUGUUUGCAAGGAACUGAGAUUGUGUUCUCAUUUGAUUAGUGAAUUUGCUUCUGAAACCUCCACUGUGGCAACUGAUGGUGCUUUUAGUACUGCCUGGCUUAAAAAUUUGACAAAACCAAUGGGUUCGCUAGUGUUGACUCAGGAGAAUGAAUCUGGAGAAAAUUUUCAUGCUCUUCAAUUUUGUGCACAGUCAAGUUCAAUUCCCAGAUCUGUUUUGCAAAUAUUAGGUUCUUCUUACUUGCUCCGUGCCUCUGCUUGGGAGACAUACGGCAGUGCCCCUCUUGCUCGAAUAAAUGCAUUGGUUUAUGCAACUUGCUUUACUGAUUCAUCAAGUUCAUCAGAUACAGCAUUAGUGCAUGCAAAGCUCAUCCAACAUUUAGCGGCA